AAUGAAGGGGAUGAUGUGUUUCUAUGUGAAUACGAGUACGACGUACAGUGGCAUAACUUCAAGCGCAUUGCGGAGAUU
rnacentral:snoRNA from 1 species